rnacentral:rRNA from 1 species
UACGAAGGGGACUAGCGUUGCUCGGAAUUACUGGGCGUAAAGGGCGCGUAGGCGGACAGUUUAGUCAGAGGUGAAAGCCCAGGGCUCAACCUUGGAAUUGCCUUUGAUACUGGCUGUCUUGAGUUCGGGAGAGGUGAGUGGAAUGCCGAGUGUAGAGGUGAAAUUCGUAGAUAUUCGGCGGAACACCAGUGGCGAAGGCGACUCACUGGCCCGAUACUGACGCUGAGGCGCGAAAGCGUGGGGAGCAAACAGG